AGUGAACGCUGGCGGUAGGCCUAACACAUGCAAGUCGAACGGCAGCACAGUAAGAGCUUGCUCUUACGGGUGGCGAGUGGCGGACGGGUGAGGAAUACAUCGGAAUCUACUUUUUCGUGGGGGAUAACGUAGGGAAACUUACGCUAAUACCUCAUACGACCUACGGGUUAAAGCAGGGGAUCUUCGGACCUUGCCCGAUUGAAUGAGCCGAUGUCGGAUUAGCUAGUUGGCGGGGUAAAGGCCCACCAAGGCGACGAUCCGUAGCUGGUCUGAGAGGAUGAUCAGCCACACUGGAACUGAGACACGGUCCAGACUCCUACGGGAGGCAGCAGUGGGGAAUAUUGGACAAUGGGCGCAAGCCUGAUCCAGCCAUACCGCGUGGGUGAAGAAGGCCUUCGGGUUGUAAAGCCCUUUUGUUGGGAAAGAAAAGCAGCAGGUUAAUACCCCGCUGUUCUGACGGUACCCAAAGAAUAAGCACCGGCUAACUUCGUG
rnacentral:rRNA from 1 species